UGCCACAGCCGUAUCACCCUGCAGCCCAAGACUGGUUGCCCACUGAAGCUAAGCAGCGUUGAGCCUGGUCAGUACCUGGAUGGGAGACCUCCUGAGAAAUCUAAGUUGCUGUUGGAA
rnacentral:rRNA from 1 species